rnacentral:rRNA from 1 species
GACAUCCAGAGAACUUAGCAGAGAUGCUUUGGUGCCUUCGGGAACUCUGAGACAGGUGCUGCACGGCUGUCGUCAGCUCGUGUUGUGAAAUGUUGGGUUAAGUCCCGCAACGAGCGCAACCCUUAUCCUUUGUUGCCAGCGGCUCGGCCGGGGAACUCAAAGGAGACUGCCGGUGAUAAACCGGAGGAAGGUGGGGAUGACGUCAAGUCAUCAUGGCCCUUACGGCCAGGGCUACACACGUGCUACAAUGGCGCAUACAAAGAGAAGCGACCUCGCGAGAGCAAGCGGACCUCACAAAGUGCGUCGUAGUCCGGAUUGGAGUCUGCAACUCGACUCCAUGAAGUCGGAAUCGCUAGUAAUCGUAGAUCAGAAUGCUACGGUGAAUACGUUCCCGGGCCUUGUACACACCGCCCGUCACACCAUGGGAGUGGGUUGCAAAAGAAGUAGGUAGCUUAACCUUCGGGAGGGCGCUUACCACUUUGUGAUUCAUGACUGGGGUGAAGUCGUAACAAGGUAGGCGUAGCGAG